CCUACGUGUGGCAGCAGUGGGGAAUAUUGCACAAUGGGGGAAACCCUGAUGCAGCGACGCCGCGUGGGUGAAGAAGUACUUCGUUAUGUAAAGCUCUAUCAGCAGGGAAGAAAAUGACUGUGCGUGAGUGAGAAGCCCUGGCUAACUACGAGCCAGCAGGCGCGGUAAUACGUAGGGGGCACACGUUCUCCGGAAUUACGGGGGGUAGAGGGAGCGGAGACGGUAGGUCAAGUCUGGUGUGAAAGGCGGGGGCUCAACCCCCGGAGUGCACUGGAAACUGUACGGCUGGAGUGCAGAAGAGGUAAGUGGAAUUCCUAGUGUAGCGGUGAAAUGCGUAGAUAUUAGGAGGAACACCAGUGGCGAAGGCGGCUCACUGGACUGUAACUGACGUUGAGGCUCGAAAGCGUGAGGAGCAAACAGGAUUAGAUACCCUUGUAGUC
rnacentral:rRNA from 1 species